GCCUCGUGCGUGCGCACGCGCGCUGCCCCCGGAGGCGUCUAGGCGUGCGGAGCGCGCGCGCGCGGCUCGGAGGCGCACCUGUGAGGUGUCCCUUGAGGAGAGGGAGGGUGGGUGCGCGGAGCCCGCGGCCUGGGGCACCUCAAGCCCUCACUUGGAAGCGCCCUGCAUCCCAGCAGAUCCGGACGAGCAUCCUACUCAGGUGAUGAGGAACCCGUCGCGCACCCAGCGCAGACCGCUGCUGCCUCUGGACGCCUCCAUUGUUUGACCAUAACAAGGGCCGGAUUCUCACCCAGACCUGCGAAGUCAAGAGACACGUCUCUCUCGAAGAUAAGAAAGCUCCUUCCUCAAGAUCAGAAAAGGAGGAUACCUAUGUAGGAAAUCCUCAAAAGGAAGGUCUCGGCAUACCUGGACAUCAAGGAGCUUGCUUCUGGGAAGGCUCCUGUCUGAUGUGUAGGAGGCAGAAUGUCAUACUGACUCUUCAGAAGGAGGCCACAGGGGAUCGAGAGCAACACACAGUAUCUCCUCUUCUACUACAGGGGACACUGUGCAGUCCUUUUCCUAAAAGUGAGAAGUACGAGAUUGUUCUGCAAGAGCAAGAUUCCAGGGGCUUAGAAGCGCAAAAGUUUACCCCUUGGGAACUCCUUGGAAUGUUGACAACUCAGGAUCUAAAAGAAAGUUCUGUGUUAAUGAGUUACAGAAUUCACGUGGAAGUAAAUGUCACUUUAUAAUCAGUAAUAAUCCUGAGUGAGGAGCACUAUGCAGGAAGAAAUCUUCCAUAGAAAGUCAGGCAGGGAAAAGCUUAGGCUAACCGUAAAACUACCAAAUCGAGUGAGCCUGAGAUAAGUGGCCACAAAAUGGCCAAAUAAGAGACUUUAUGAAAUAGCAAUCCUGGAGCUAUAGUAAUUGUAAGGAAAUUUUCUCCUCUAAAUUACGAUACCAAAUAGGAAAAAUGAUCUACAAGUGCCCCAUGUGUAGGGAAUUUUUCUCUGAAAGAGCAGAUCUUUUUAUGCAUCAGAAAAUUCACACUGCUGAGAAGCCCCAUAAAUGUGACAAGUGUGAUAAGGGUUUCUUUCAUAUAUCAGAACUUCACAUUCAUUGGAGAGACCACACAGGAGAGAAGGUCUAUAAAUGUGAUGAUUGUGGUAAGGAUUUUAGUACUACAACAAAACUUAAUAGACAUAAGAAAAUCCACACAGUGGAGAAGCCCUAUAAAUGUUAUGAGUGUGGCAAAGCCUUCAAUUGGAGCUCACAUCUUCAGAUUCACAUGAGAGUUCAUACAGAUUGAUACUAAAAACUCAUGUGGAGGAACUCAAGGAAUGUUUAGAAGACCAAAAGUCCCCAAUGACAAGAACAAAAAGCAACUAAUUUUUAACAUUGUUUCUCUUCUCAUUCCUGUUUUUUCAUUGAUUUCCCACAUGUAGUCCUUUUGCUCAGGAAGUCUUUGGGGAAAUUAAGGACCUUUGAAGCUCUGAAAUGGGUGAUCAGGUUAGUGGUGUCUGUCAACUGUCUUAAGAGGCUGGAAAAUGAACUACCCAAAAUAGUCAUUGAAAUACUGAAACAAAGCUUGAUUUUUCUCUUUAUAUUUGAAUUAAUUUCUUCUGUUUGACUGGAAGGGGUUUUUGUAUAACUAAACCUCAAGGCAUAAAGGGGAUUUAAAAGGAGCACAUAAUUUAGUGGAUGGGCCAUGAAGCCAGAGAUAGGAUUUGGGGGGUAAGUUUGUCACUGUUGGGACAACAGACCUCUAACCCAGACCUCUCUGUUAACAAGCCUUUGGGAAGUCACUCCUCAGACAUUUCCUCCUCCUCAGAGAGGGGUACCUUCACUAUGUGAUAAAGCCCCUUCCAGGCCUGAAUUUCUUGACGAUUUACUGUAGUGUCUUAUCACUCUUUCAUAUCACAGUAGUGUGGAGCAUUAGAGAAAAGCCUAGACUUUUAGUUGAUAGAGAGCCAGUUGAAAUAUCAUUGAUAGAAUUUUAGUUUUAGGAAAAAAUUGGUUUGAUUUCUAGCUUUAUUACUAUUAGGUAUGUGAACUUGGGCAAAUCGCUUAAUCUUUGAGUCUAGUUUUCUCACAAAAUGAGGAUAUUAGACUAAAUGAUUUCCAAGUUUCCAGCUAGUCCUAGAGUUCUAUAUUUCUACAUAGUUGAAUUAUUUUAUCAUGCUGUUGCUGGGAAUAUGACUAACACUUUUGAAGCUACUAAUUUUAUGUCGAGCUUUAAAUUCCAUAAUUGUUAUCUUUGGAAAAUAUUAUUUGACCUACAGUAUGUCCAAAUCAAUUUAAUAAAAUCACUUUAUAACAGGGUUCUGUGCUUAACAUGAAUGGGGGGUCAUCGUGUAUGUGUGUUGGGGGGGUUGGUUUGUGCCCUAUGCCUAGAGUGACCAUAUAAUUUAUUGUCCAGACUGGGCCCUGAGUACAGGAGCUAAUAUCAAUACUAAAUGAGGACAGUAGGCCUAAUCUGGGACUAUCCCAGCAAACCAGGGUUUGAGAACAGCCUGGCCCAGGGGUCACAUCCCAAGCAAGUAACAAAUGACUGAAUUGUGUCAGAAGUUGCAAGGUCUGGCAGACUGGAGAAAGUAUGGUCCCUACUUGGCUUUAGCUCUUUCUUUCCAUGCUGGAAUACAUGCUAGGGUUCCCAUAUGUUCUGCUCUUUUAGGAAAAAAACUUAGCAACCUAGAUUUUACAUUAAAUUUAUGGAUUUUUAAAUGUUGGCAAUGAAUUCAUGUUUCCUGUGUGACCCACUUUGUCGUUUGUAUUAUCUGCCUGGUGCUGAUAGGCUUUUAUUUCACGUUGCAAGACCUUCUCCAGUCCCUGAUGACUGAAACCCCCUCCUGGUGAGGCAGGACAUGCUCUUAGCUGAAGCCAUGGUGGUCUGUGUCCCAUGCCUCACUCCCAGACUGUGGUUCUGGAAUCUGCUAGCUUUGAGGGACAAGGCUGCAUUACACUUCCACUGUGGAUGUGGAAGCAGCCAAACUGGCCCUUUUGAUAUGGGAGUGGGGUGGGCAAGAGUGGUCACACAGGGCUCCAGUGCCACCUACGGUCACUCUUGCCUGGUGCCUGCUAGGACUUAGGGUGUGAGAGAGGUAUGUCAAGGCUGACUUCAUAGUUUCUAACUUGGGAUCCUGAAGUGAGUUGCAAAUUGCAUCUUUAAGAUUAGAAGAAUUCUAUCAAAUCUGAGAGCCCAGCAACAUUCAGAUGGGCCUCUAUGAGAUGUAUGCCCAGGCUUGUUGCAGGCCACCUUGAGGAAGCUGCACAGGGAUCUUUGUGUGUUGUGUGAGCUUGGACACAAUGGCUUCCAAGGGACCUUCCAAUUCAUGGUUCUGUUAUCCUAAAAAAUACAAAAUGAUUAAGCAGUUUUUCUGUACAACUUGCUGUUAUUCUCAGGAAUUUAGAAAAAAAUAGGUAAAUGGAAAGCAAAUACUAGAAACAUGAAGAAAAAUACUCAGUGAUAAAACUAAACCCUUAGGGAAGAGAUGAAAAAGAGCCUGAUGCCAUGCCAUGGCAGGAGCCAGGUAUACGUAGCAUUGGCAAAUGAAGGUACACUUGAGGGGUAAGGAGAUGAGGAGGAAGGGGAGGCAACUCGCACUCUGUGACCCUGUGGAGUUUAACUUCUCUGGACCUCAGAUUUCUCAUGUGUAAAAUGGUUUUGAAAAUACCUAUCUCGUGAGAUAGUUGGGAAGCUAAAUACAAUAAACACAUAUGAAGUGCCUAGCAUUUAGUAAUACCACAGAAAAAAAUAGUAAUCCUGGUUGCCUCUUAAGGAAGAUGAGUCAUGUUAUUUGGAGUUCCUUCUGCUCUACUGAGCACUACAGUGGGUUUAGGUGCCUGAAUUUGGAGGUAGGACCUGGAGAGGGCUAGUGGUUCCACACAAGAGAGAGGAGAACCUGAAUGUCCUAGGACAGUCUGGGAUGAGAAGUUAAAGACCAACUGGAGAAGGAGUGAAAGGGGCAUGGCGGGGGGGUGGGCGACCAGGAAGUAGGAUGGUGAGAGGUGCACGCCUUCGUGUGCAAACCUUGAUGACCCCAAAAUCUGAAGUUUUGGGAGGCUUUCUCUGAGUGGGCUUAACAGAAACUAGUGGAAGGACUGAGUGCCUUGUCCAGGCUGAAAUGGGGCAGGACAUAUGUGUGGCACAUAAGUAGAUGUUGGAGCCAGAGGAGGGUGGCCACAAGGUCAUAAGUGCCUAGGAAUAAGGAGAAGUCUUUGGGAGAGCUUCAGGCUUCCAAGGCUGUGUUUACCCAAGUCCCUUCUGGGCAGGGAGGCUCUUGGGUAUCUUUGUUACCACUCCUCGAAUAUGUAGGCAGAAUAAUUUUAAAAUCAUAAGUUUCAACAUUUAUAUUCCUAUGUUAUAUUUAAAAAUAAUAAGAACAUAAGCAAAUCCGAAGAUCCCAAGGCGUUGUGCUUAUUAUAUGUCAGCAAGAACUUGGCAUAGUCCUUGAUGGAAGGUGACUAAUACCAAAGUGCUUUUAUUCAGAUUUAAGCAUAUGCAAAUAAAAUACAUUUUUAGAGUAAAAGCAGGUACAGAUUGCUCCCAUUGAUUUUCAGGUGAAUAUAUACAUUUUAUAGACUCUGUUUUGUGUGUACCCUGCCAAUUAUACUUCCUAAAAACUACAGAAAAUGGGUUCACUUGGAGCAUUUUCAUCUUCUUUUGUGUUGGCCCUGAUCCAGGUCUUCUAUGAAUUGUGAAAUAUGGUGAAAUGAAAUACCGUGAAAUGAAAAUGCAGGUGAGAACAGCUAGGCAUUUCAGGGGGACUGGCAGGGAGUGGGGAGAAUUGGCCAUAUAAGCAGAAACCGCUGGACUGACCCCCAAGUCUGUGUCUUGGUUGCAGAGGAGGCAAUUCUUGCUGUAAAACUGAGGUUCCCAGUGCUUGUGUGGGUUGUAUUUAGAUUCUCAAAUAAAGCUAUUCAUAUUACUUGG